UCCAGACUCCUACGGGAGGCAGCAGUGGGGAAUAUUGGGCAAUGGGCGCAAGCCUGACCCAGCAACGCCGCGUGAAAGAAGAAGGCUUUCGGGUUGUAAACUUCUUUUCUCAGGGACGAAGCAAGUGACGGUACCUGAGGAAUAAGCCACGGCUAACUACGUGCCAGCAGCCGCGGUAAUACGUAGGUGGCAAGCGUUAUCCGGAUUUACUGGGUGUAAAGGGCGUGUAGGCGGGAAAGCAAGUCAGAUGUGAAAACCAUGGGCUCAACCUGUGGCCUGCAUUUGAAACUGUUUUUCUUGAGUGCUGGAGAGGCAAUCGGAAUUCCGUGUGUAGCGGUGAAGUGCGUAGAUAUACGGAGGAACACCAGUGGCGAAGGCGGAUUGCUGGACAGUAACUGACGCUGAUGCGCGAAAGCGUGGGGAGCAAACAGGAUUAGAUACCCCAGUAGCG
rnacentral:rRNA from 1 species